UUUUUUUUUUUUUUAAUUACUGGAGGUUAAGUAGCCUGAGAUUAGGCUGGUUAGGGAGGUUGGUACACUGUGCUGUCACAUCGGGUCUACGGCUGUUUUCAUCUGAAAACCACAGGGUGGAGUUUCAGCAGAGAUCUCAUGGCCUAAUCAGCCUAAAACUUUUAUCUGGCCCUUUACAGAGUAAGUUUGCCAACCCCCAGUCUGUUGUAAUCAAAACAUAUCUUAAAUAGGAGCUAUUUCCUACUUUAAACCAAUAUGACACAGUCCUUUGGGGAGCAGUUUAUCUUACAUGGCAGAAGAGUCUUAGGACUCUGCAUUCCCUCAUACGGUUUUUAUUAAAAUAAGUGAGUUUUAUCUACUACAACUAAACUAUUUUGGAGUUCCUGUCAUGGCUCAGCGGUUAACAAACCUAACAGGCAUCCAUGAGGAUGAGGGUUCAAUCCCUGGCCUCACUCAGUGGAUUAAUGAUCCAGCGCUGCUGUGAGCUGUGGCAUGGGUCGAAGAUGCAGCUCGGAUCUCGCGUGGCUGUGCCUGUGGUGUAGGCCGGCAGCUCCAGCUCCAGUUAGACCUCUAGCCUGGGAACCUCCAUAUGCCUUGGGUGCAGCCCUGAAGAGACAAAAAGACAAAAGGCAACUCUUUAUUGAAUUUGUUACCCACAAUAGGAUAAUAACUUCUGAGGUUAAAAACAUUCUCUUAGUUUCAGGACACUAUGAUGGGUUUUCAUGAAAAUUAGUCUCUCUCUAGUUCUCUCCAUUGUUAUAAAAUGGCCAGUUUUUUAUAAUAAAUUGUGAGAGAAAUGUACCUAGAAGGAAAAAAGGGGAGAUGUUUAGGAAGAGCUAGGUUUACUCCUGGGCUGAACGUUGCUCGCCUCAUCCUUGCCCCUUGCAAAGCAGCACGGUCAGUGGCUGUCCUCGUUCUCGAGAAACUCUGCCUCCGGGCGGAACCUGACUUGGCCUUGGAGGGACAGCACAGGCGCAGCUCCCGUGGCUCUGGUUCAGGACUCAGACCAGGAGCCCGACGUCCAUGCAGUGCGUAGGCUUCUGUGCCAUUUUAUUGCACAGUUUCCUGUAACCACCUUGAUUUUGAAGGUGCAGAGCUAGUUCCUCCAACAAAGACGGUUGAUGUCAACAUUUUACCAGUUUGGGUAAAGGAGGAGAAGUCGACCGUAUCUCCCCAUAUUUUUGCUCUUUCCAUUAUUCUUCCAUCCUGAUGUUCCAAGACUUUUUUUUUUUUUACGUUUCCUUUGUGUUUUGAGAACUUCCUUUAGUCAUUCUUUUAGGGUUGGCUUAUCCAAGCACAUUCUUUUGGUUUUCCAUCUUCUGGCGUCUUUCGUUUCCCUUCAUUCCUGAAGGACGAUUUCACCAGAUACAGAAUCCAGAGUUGAUAGUUAUUUUCGUGCUUGAAAUUUGGGGCCAUUUUUCUGGCCUCCACGCGUCCUGAGGAGGAAUCUGUCAUCUGAAGUGUCUUUCCGAGGUAGGUAAGGUGGUAUUUCUUACUGCUUGCAAGCUGUUUUCUUUGCCUUUAGCUUUCAGAAGUUUGUCUUAUCAUAGAUUUCGUCAGGUUUAUGCUGUUUGUAGUUCACUCAAGCUUCGUAAAUAUAAACGUUUAUGUCUUUUGCCAGAUUGGGAAACAUGUCAGCCCUUUUGCUUUCAAAGGCUUUUUCAGGCCGGCCUUUCUCUCCUGGAGUCUGAUGGCACCAGCGCUCCAUCUUUUUGUUACAGGCCCAGAGGUAACUCCUUUCGGCCUGUCUUCUCUCUGCUCCGUUUGGGUCAUUUCUGUUUUAGCUUCAGGUUCCCAGGCUAGGGGUCGAAUCGGAGCUGUAGCCACCGGCCUACGCCAGAGCCACAGCAACGCGGGAUCUGAGCCGCGUCUGCCACCUACACCACAGCUCACAGCAAUGCCGGAUCGUUAACCCACUGAGCAAGGGCAGGGACCGAACCCGCAAUCUCAUGGUUCCUAGUCGGAUUCGCCAACCACUGCGCCACGACGGGAACUCCUCGGAUCAUCUUUGAAUCUUCUGCGUUACCACCGCACUGGUGGGCAGGGUGGGGGCACGGACGCUGCCCCUCGCCGCUACCCGCUGAGGUUCACCACCUGCCCUGCUUGGCCGCCUCGGGGAGGGGGCUCUAGUCUGUUUCCCACCGGGGAACGUGGGCUCCAGUGACACCGUGGGGCUGAGAGGGCUCGUCCUGCCAGAUGGGGGUGGGGUAUCAUCUGCCAGCUCCGCCCUGGGCCUGCCCUGCCGCGGCGCCAGCAGAGGACGGGGCAGGAGGGGGAGGCCUCCUGCCAGCCAUGGACAGAGGAGGUCCCGGCUCCCCCCUUGGCCUUUGCCGACGGGCUGGGGUCUGUGCGGGAGCUCUUGGCCUUUUUCCGCUCCCUCUUCUCUGGUCUUUGGUUGAAAGUGCAGACUUGGCUGUUGUCGUCUCUCCUCGUCACUGGGCUGCUGGCUCCACCAGCGCCUAGACUGGGACACCUGAGAGACAGGAACACCCAGGGAAUUCUCCGCUGGGUCAUCUCUCGGGUCCCGAGGUCCUUGAUCCGUCCGGCUGCUUCUCCUUUUUCAGACUGUUUAUGUGAUACGCGUCCAGGGUCUUGGCUGUGCUUGGUGGGAGGAACAGGGGAUGGUGUCCUCUCCAUCUUGUCCCUCCCGGGGGACAGGGCAAGAGUUAGCAGCUCUGGCUUCGCGACUUGAGCAAAUUAGUAAACACACCUCAGAUUAUGAGCGCCAGGUUUCUCUCUGUUGGAGGAGUGACAGGAAAAGGAGGAAGUUUCCGUGUGUGUGUGUGUGUGCACGCACGCGCACAUGCUAACACCAGACCACUGAAUGUAGUUUAAAAUUUCCUAGGAUUCCUUUGUGCCUAAGGAUAUAUCCCUCCAAGGAUGCUGAGUCAGAACUGUUUCAGAGUUCCCUGGUGGCUCAGUGGGCAUGCAGCCAAAAAAGAGAAAACUUAUGGGAGCUCCCACUGUGGUUCAUGAGGUAGAGAACCUGACAUAGUGUCUUUGAGAAAGUGGUUGGAUCCCUGGCCUCACUCAGUGGCUUAAGGAUCUGGCACUGCCACAAACUAUGGUGUAGAUCACAGAUGCGGCUCGGCUCCUGCGUUGCUGUGGCUGUGCUGUAGGCCGGCAGCUGCAGCUCCCGUUGGACCUCUAGCCCGGGGACUGGGAACUGCCAUAUGCCACAGGAGUGGCUGUAAAAAGAAAAAUUACGCAAAAACAGAACAUCUUUCCUCAGCUGCUGCUAAGGUGCUCCGUCCUCCCGAGAAAGCUAAGGUCUCAUUGGGGUCGCUCACUUAACCAGCUACUAGCACCGUGCCCGGCAGCCCCCACCUGGCCUGCGUCUGCACCGCGGCCUCCGUCCCGGAGCUCGUCUGCAUCUGCUCUGCCCUCAUCCUGCGUGAAGACAAGGUGACAGUCACGGAGGAGGAGCUCCAGGCCCUCAUUAAAGCAGCAGGUGUAAAUGCUGAGCCGUCCAGGCCAGGCGGGUCUGCAAAGCUCGGGAGCCUCAUCUGCAAUGGGGGGGGCUGGUGGACCUGCCCCAGCAGCUGGUGCUGCAUCAACAGGAGGUCCUGCCCCGGCCACCACCACUGCCCCAACUGAGGAGAAGGAAGCAGAAGCAAAGAACGAAGAAUAUGAGGAGUCUGACAUGACAUGCGCUUUGGUCUUUUUGACUAAACUUCUAUAACCUAUUCAAUAAUAAAAACCCGAGCUCUUGAAAAAAAAAAAAAAAAA
rnacentral:lncRNA from 1 species